GGAUGCGAGAACCAAUCCCGGAACUACGCAUGUAGAGACACGAGGGGAGAAUUUUCGGACGCGGGUUCAACUCCCGCCGCCUCCACCA
rnacentral:tRNA from 1 species